GACACUGCGCUUUUUAAAAUCACUGCGGGUCUUGCCUUGGGACCACGCAGACCUGGAAAGUUUAGAAGCGUAUUCUCCCGGAGGCAAGCUCUAGAAACAGCAUAUUCUGCGCCCCCUUGGUGCCCCCCGCCCAAAUAAGGAAAGGAGGUCCUCUAUGCCAGGUAUGGGGAAUACAGUGGAAGACUUGGUCCAAGAUGCCAGGAUGGGCAGUCACCAGAGGAAAGAAGUGUUCGCAAUGGAAGACACUGGUUGUUUCAUAAGAGAGGAUGAGAAACAACAUGUAUCCAACAUUCUGAAGGAUGCCGUUAUGGUGUUGCCUAGGUGAUUCACUAGGAUGUAUUAUCAUGUUAUGCCUCAUAUUCUUUUCCAUUGCCUUCAGUGAGAUGGUUGUCUCAAAUUGCCUAUAUCACUAUUACUAGAAAUUAAAAUCCUACUUUUCUAUUAUAAACCCUUCUUUUUCUCCAUUCCUCCCUCUGUUUUUCUUUCCUUCCAACCCUUUCUUUUCAUUUUUUCCAUCCUUUUCCUUUUUAAAAAAAUGUAUAUUUAGAAUCUACUAUUCUAGGUCCUUUCUUGUAUUAUUGUUUAUAUUUAUCUGACAUAUAUAUUCAUAGUUUCUUUUAUUUUUAACAUUUUUGUGAUUUUGUUUUUGCGGUUGUAAAUAGCAUAUGGAUUAUUAUUUUUAACCUAGUAUUGGCUAUAUUUUUCUGUAAAGGGUUUAUAAUUUUAUAUUUAAUAUCAUAAUACUUUGCUGAAUUUGGAGGCAGACAGUUCUUCAGUCUUAGCUCUGUGUUCUUGGGCAAAUUAAUUAAACCUCUUCACUCUCAUUUUCUUCAUUUCUUUAGUAAACAUAAUAAAAUUGAUUUAUUAAUAGGGUUUCUUUGAGUUAAACAAAAUAGUAUAUUUAAAUAUUUUGUAAGGUCAACAUAUUUAAUCUCUGUUAUUAUAACCAUCAUUUUUUUAAUUAUAAAAAAGAUUAACUCCUUUACACUUAUUGUCAUUGAUAUAUUUCCUUUAUUUGUAAGGUCGACAUAUUUAAUCUCUGUUGUUAUUUUUUUUUUUUUUGUCUUUUUGUCUUUUUAGGGUCAUACCCCCGGCAUAUGGAGGUUCCCAAGCUAGGGGUCCAAUUGGAGCUGUAGCCUCCAGCCUACGCCAGAACUACAGCAAUACAGGAACCGAGCCACAUCUGCAACCUACACCACAGCUCACAGAAACAUGGGAUCCUUAACCCACUGAGCAAAGCUAGGAGUUGAACCCGCAACCUCAUCGUUCUUAGUCGGAUUCAUUAACGACUGAGCCACAACGGGAACUCCUAAUCUCUGUUGUUAUGACCAUCAUUUUUUUAAUUAUAAAAAAGAUUAACCCCUUUACACUUUUGUAAUUGAUAUAUUUCCUUUAAUUCUAUCAUAUUUUUUACCUUUAAAAAUAUUUUUUGAUAUGUUUUCUAUCCUUGUUUAAACAGACACAGAGAUUUAUAGGAACAAAUUCUGAGUUAAGCCUACCAGUGGAUUACCUGUAAAACAUAUGUAAUUAAUAAAGUAUAAAAACAAU
ensembl:lncRNA